GAUGAACGCUGGCGGCGUGCCUAACACAUGCAAGUCGAACGAAGCACCUUACCUGAUUCUUCGGAUGAAAGUUUGGUGACUGAGUGGCGGACGGGUGAGUAACGCGUGGGUAACCUGCCCUGUACAGGGGGAUAACAGCUGGAAACGGCUGCUAAUACCGCAUAAGCGCACGAGGAGACAUCUCCUUGUGUGAAAAACUCCGGUGGUACAGGAUGGGCCCGCGUCUGCUUAGCUGGUUGGCAGGGUAACGGCCUACCAAGGCAAGGAUCAGUAGCCGGUCUGAGAGGAUGAACGCCCACAGUGGAACUGAGACACGGUCCAAACUAAUACGGGAGGCAGCAGUGGGGAAUAUAACAGAAUGGGGGAAAGCCUGAUGCAGCAACGCCGCGUGAGUGAAGAAGUAUUUCGGUAUGUAAAGCGCUAUCAGAAGGGAAGAUCAUGACGGUACCUGACGAAGAAGCGCCGGCUAAAUACGUG
rnacentral:rRNA from 1 species